CCUACGGGAGGCAGCAGUGGGGGAUAUUGCACAAUGGGCGCAAGCCUGAUGCAGCGACGCCGCGUGGAGGAAGAAGGUUUUCGGAUUGUAAACUCCUGUCUUCAGGGACGAUAAUGACGGUACCUGAGGAGGAAGCCACGGCUAACUACGUGCCAGCAGCCGCGGUAAUACGUAGGUGGCAAGCGUUGUCCGGAAUUACUGGGUGUAAAGGGAGCGUAGGCGGGAUUGCAAGUUAAAUGUGAAAUCUAUCGGCUCAACCGGUAGCUGCGUUUAAAACUGUAGUUCUUGAGUGAAGUAGAGGCAGGCGGAAUUCCUAGUGUAGCGGUGAAAUGCGUAGAUAUUAGGAGGAACACCAGUGGCGAAGGCGGCCUGCUGGGCUUUUACUGACGCUGAGGCUCGAAAGUGUGGGUAGCAAACAGGAUUAGAUACCCUGGUAGUC
rnacentral:rRNA from 1 species